ACCUGAAAGAGAAGCAAAAUUAUGAGG
rnacentral:sRNA from 1 species